rnacentral:misc_RNA from 1 species
GAGGAGAGAGCAGAUUGGCUAGCUGUUUCGAAUCUGUUUCAAUGAUACAUGGGAAGAAAUUCCUAUUGUGAAUCCACAUGCAUGCUUGACUAAGGGCUUUACCCUUUACUGCCAAAGGAGAAAGGCUAACAGAGGAUGUUGAAACACCAUCAACCACCCUACUCUCAGAAUUGCGACGUAUAAGACCCAUACCUGCAUUUCCUGAACCAUAAUCAAAGGAAGUAUCAAUGUUAAUUUUAAA